GAUGAACGCUAGCGGCAGGCUUAAUACAUGCAAGUCGAGGGGCAUCAAGGUACACGAAAGUGUAUUGUUGGCGACCGGCGGACGGGUGAGUAAUAGGUAGGUAACCUACCUCAUACUGAGGCAUAGCUGGGAGAAAUUCCAGGUAAUUCCUCAUGAGGUUAUAUGACACAUGUGAUAUAAUCAAAGGUAUCGCAAGGUACUGGUAUGAGAUGGGCUUACUGACCAUUAGCUAGUUGGUGAGAUAAGAGCUCACCAAGGCGAAGAUGGUUAGGGGUUUGAGAGAGAGAUCCCCCACAUUGGAACUGAGAUACGGUCCAGACUCCUACGGGAGGCAGCAGUAGGGAAUAUUGGGCAAUGGGCGGAAGCCUGACCCAGCCAUGCCGCGUGAAGGAAGACGGCCUUAUGGGUUGUAAACUUCUUUACUAUGCGACUAACUAGAUUUACGAGAUAAUUCUAUAGAAUGUAGCAUAGCAAAAAGCACC
rnacentral:rRNA from 1 species